UUCUUAAAUUUGGAGGAGCAUACGAGGGAUUCAGCAUACUUUUUUCUCUAACUCUGUAUGAUUGCAGAUUUUCAAUACCUAAAAAAUUAAAGUUAAUAAAGAGCUCAGGUUUGUGAAGGAGAGAGGAAGAGAAAUUAUUUGAAACUGGCAAUGGGAAGCAAGAGCAGCUCAGCCAAGGUCUGGCUCUGGGGUGCCUGGGGUGAGAGAUAAGACAAUUUCCCACCUGAGAAGUGGAGUCCUUCCCAACAGAACACGAAAAGCUCUGCUCCUACCCUUCCAAAUCUCUAAUGCCCAAACUUCCUCUACACCUGCUCUCCCUUUCCCCACCAGAGCAGCAAAUCUCGACUUCAGGGGCUGCAACUGUGGGGCUUGAUUAGUUGGGAGGCAUACCGGUAAUUUGUUACUAUUUUAGUUGGUUACAAAUGUUGGUCAUUUUAAAAUAAAAUAAAUCCGAUUCCAGAUUAGUCCACAAUACUAUAAUUCUCAUUCAUUUACAUUCAGAAAUGGUUUUUUGAGAGGAAAGGAAUGGAAAUACAGCUAGCACACUGAGAAUUGAACAUAAUCCAUGCAUAUGUAGCACUUGUAAACAUAAUCCUAUAGUACCCUAGACAAUGUCAAUCUUUUGAGUCUUUAAUGUUCAUCCAAUCAUAAAAAUCCUCUCAUGGUCUUAGUUCCUACCUUUUACAGAUUAUACUUCAUGAGUGCAUAGGCAAACUAUAUUAAAAUGAGCACUCCGGCCUCUGUAGCACUCUUAUCCUUCUGCUGUAUCUAUUCAGCAAAAUCCCAACCCUGAUUUAGCUGCAUUCCCUACCAUCUCUACACCAACUCUCUGUUAUAGGAAAGCCAAUAAAUGUAUGUAUUGGUGAUGAAGUACCAUAAAGUCAUGGUCUUUGUGGAGGAUUUGAUAGAUUGGUACUCAUAAUGUAUUUCAGUCCCUCUUUUAAUGUGGGUGGUUUUUUUUUUUAAUUUUUGAAUCUUAUUUUAUUUAUUUUUUUAUACAGCAGGUUCUUAUUAGUUAUCCAUUUUUUAAAUACAUAUUAGUGUAUAUAUGUCAAUCCCAAUCUCCCAAUUCAUCAUUUUUAUUUAUUUACUUAUUUUUAUAAAUUUAUUUAUUUAUUUUUGGCUGUGUUGGGUCUUCGUUUCUGUGCGAGGGCUUUCUCUAGUUACGGCGAGCGGGGGCCACUCUUCAUCGCGGUGCGCGGGCCUCUCACUGUCGCAGCCUCUCUUGUUGCGGAGCACAGGCUCCAGACGCGCAGGCUCAGUAGUUGUGGCUCACGGGCCCAGUCGCUCCGCGAGCAUGUGGGAUCUUCCCAGACCAGGGCUCGAACCCAUGUCCCCUGCAUUAGCAGGCAGAUUCUCAAACACUGCGCCACCAGGGAAGCCUCCCAGUUCAUCAUUUUUAAUGUGCUUUCCUGUAUGGCACAAAUGGAAAACCUAAAACAAAAGAAACACAAAAACAAAUUAUAUUUGCCAGACACCUCUGCAGUUAUAUUUGGAAGAUGCAAAUGAGGCAGGGAUCCUUUCCCUCUGCUUUGGCUGUUUUUGCUGCCGAGCACAUUCUUGAAGACAUUGGGUUUUCAUCCUAGUAUUCAUUCACUAGUUCUAUCUAUCUAUCUAUCUAUCAAUCAUCUAUCAAUUAUAGGUGAUUUACAAUAUUAUAUUAGUUUCAGAUGUACAGCAUAGUGAUUCAAUAUUUUUACAGAUUUUACUCCAUUUAAAGUUAUUACAAAAUAAUGGCUGUAAUUCCCUGUGCUGUACAAUAUAUCCUUGCUGCUUAUCUAUUUAAUACAUAGUAGUUUGUAUCUCUUAAUCCCAUACCUCUAUCUUGCCCCUUGCCCCUUCCCUCUCCCUACUGGUAACAACUAGUUUGUUUUCUGUAUCUGUAAGUCUGUUUCUGUUAUGUUAUAUACAUUAGUUUGGUUUACUUUUUUAGAUUCCACAUAUAAUUGAUAACAUACAGUAUUUUUCUUUCUCUGACUUAUUUCACUAAGCAUAAUACUCUCUAGGUCCAUCCACAUUAUUGCAAAUGGCAGAAUUUCAUUCUUUUUAUACCAGCCAUAAAUAUGUAUAUAUUAUAUAUCCAUUCGUAUAUAUAUGUAUAUAGCCAUUCAUCUGUUGAUGGACACUUAGGUUGCUACCAUAUCUUGCCCGUCAUAAAUAAUGCUGCUAUGAACAAUGGGGUGCAUGUAUCUUUUCGAAUUAGUCCUUCCUUUCUUUCUUUUUUUUUUUUUUUUUUUUGCGGUACGUGGGCCUCUCACUGUUGUGGCCUCUCCCGUUGCGGAGCACAGGCUCCGAACGCGCAGGCCCAGCGGCCAUGGCUCACAGGCCCAGCCGCUCCGCGGCACGUGGGAUCCUUCCGGACCGGGGCACGAACCCGCGUCCCCUGCAUCGGCAGGCGGACUCCCAACCACUGCGCCACCAGGGAAGCCCCCUUUCUUUCUUUUGAUGCUUCCCCCAGGAGCAACCUGUCAGCCACCUUGGAAGUGGAUUCUCUAGUUUUAGCCAAGGCUUCAGAUGACUCCAGCCCAGGCCAAAAUCUGGCUGAAUUCCAUGAGAAUUCCAGAGCUAAGCUGUAUAGCCAAGGCACUUACAGAUUUCUGACUGAUAGAAACCGCCAGAGAUAACAAAUGUUUAUUGUUAUUUUAAGCUGCAACAAUAAGCACAUGUUUAUUGUUGUUUUAUUGAUGUUUUUAGGUUUGGGGUAACUUUUUAGGCAGCAAUAGAUAAUUAAUACAACAGGUUGAGAGUUUUGGCAGCAGCAGUGCUCUUGAAGCUAACAUUCCAGCUUUCUAUUUACAACUUUCCCAACUGGGGCAGAGAUAGCAGUGACCUAUCAGGCCUGUUUGGCCACAUUGUACUGAGAGGCAUUCUUGAUCACCCAGCCUAAUGCCCACUCCUCCAGUCCUUCCAAUUACUUUGUAAACACCUUCUCUGUAUUACAUCUUUUUCUGCUUAAAAUAGCUGAAUUGGUUUCUGUUACCUGCAACUGAGCUUGACCAAAUAAAAAUACCCAUCUCAAAACAACAACUAAACACUAGAGGCAUUCCUGCUAAAGUCAGGGAUAAGACAAGUAAGUUGGUUAUUAACAGCAUUAUUUGAUAUCGAUCUGGAAAUGCUGUUUCAUUAUAAGUCAAGAUAACGAAAUAAGUAUUGCAAAGAAGGAGCCAAAAUUGUCAUUAUAUAUAAUAAGGUGAUAUAAUUGUCUACCAGGGAAAUUUGAAUGAAUAAGCUAAAAAUAAAAACUAUUAAGAAAGUUGAGUGGGUAAGUCAGUUAAAAAUUUAACAAAAAAACAAUAGCUUUCCUAUGUAGCAACAAUAACCAUUUAGAAAAUAUAAAAGAAGACAUAAUUUAGUCCAGUAGGAAAAAAAUGCAUAAAGUCACUGGGAAAAAUAAAUUUAUAAAUUUAAUGCAAUUUUCAUGAAAAUUCCAGCUUUUUUUUGAACUUGGAAAAUUUUAUAAAGUUAUCUGGAAGAAUAAAUAUUCAAAUAGAGAUUAAAAAUUCUGAGAAAGUAAGACUAACCAAAAAGGACUUGUCCUAUGACAUAUUAAAAUAUAUUAUAAAAUUGCAUGAAAGUGUAGUGAUUUUGCUUCCAGAAUGGUUAGACUGAUCAAUGAAAUAGAAGAAAAAGACCAGAAAUAGAUUCAACUUUAUGUAAGAAUUUAAUAUCUGGUAUACAUGUUGGGAAAUCAGUGUGGCAAAUAUGAAUUGUUCAAUAAAUUAUAUUGUGGCAAAUAACUUUUUGAAAAAAUUAUAUUCCUAUGUCACAUUUUAUACUAGAAUAAAUUCCAUUUGGAGCUAAAUGAAAUAAUCACUUGUUAAAAACUCUUAGUAAAUUAUAAAUAGAAGUAAUUAAAGAAGUUCUAAAACAUAUAGGUAAAUAUCAGUAUUAUUUAGGCUAAUAAAGCCUUUUUAGGCUUAACAUCAAAGCCAGAAACCAGGAAGAAAAUUUUGAUAGAUUGACCAUUUAAAAAUUAUAGCAAAACAAGAAGUUUUUACCCCUUUCCUCCCCCAGUAAAUGAUCAACUGGGGGAAAAAUUGUAAAAUAUAUAAGAGACAAAGGUAUGUUUUCCUUAUAAUGCAAAGAGUUCAUAUAAAUCAAGAAGGAAAAAGACAGAUAUUUUCCCUGAAAAACAAUUUUCUCCUACCUCAGAGAAAAAUGGGCUAAGGAGGUAAAAAGGCUAUUCACAUUAGAAAUCAAUUGGUCAUGUGAAAAACAUUCAACCUUCUAAUAAUCAAAGAAAUGCACAUUCACAAAAAAGGAUAUCACUUUUAAUUUUUGGAUAGGCACAUUCUAAAAAGAACAAAUCCACUCUCAUGAGUGCAUAGGAACUACAUACCGUGACCACCACUGGGGAGAGAUACCUUCCCAUAUGUAAUAAGGGCCUAUAUAUAAAAACUUAGCCAGGGGCUUCCCUGGUGGCGCAGUGGUUGAGGGUCCGCCUGCUGAUGAAAGGGACACGGGUUUGUGCCCCGGUCCAGGAAGAUCCCACAUGCCGCGGAGCGGCUGGGCCCGUGAGCCAUGGCCGCUGAGCCUGCGCGUCUGGAGCCUGUGCUCCACAACGGGAAAGGCCACAACAGUGAGAGGCCCGCGUACCGCAAAAAAAAUAAAAAUAAAAAUAAGCAUGUGGACCUAUAUUUAGUUGUAUGAAAGAUGUCCACAAAGUAUUCAUACCAAAAGAGUAGAGUUCAAAGAAGUAAAAUAAACAAUGUGUUGUUCUAUGUCUGUACAUAGAAAAACUCUAUUAUACACCAAAAUUUUAAUAACAGCUAUUUUGAGGUAGAUUAUGGGUAAUAUACUUCUACUUAUUUGUACAGUUCUGCACUAUCUGAAUCUUUUGCAAUGAUCAUUAU
ensembl:lncRNA